rnacentral:lncRNA from 1 species
CGAGUUUCAGAGGCAGAGUCAGGCGAAAACUGGGCAGAACCCGCGACCUCCCGCAACCUGAAGAGCGGCCUUCGCCGAGUGCGCCUGCGCAGCUACGACCGCAGCAGGAAAGCGCCGCCGGGCAGGCCCAGCUGUGGCUGGACCAGGACUGGAAGAGAGGACGCGGUCGAGGAGAAAUGCUAGGAGGGUUUUCUGUGUGACUCCACCCUGGAUGUCCCCAGUACCUGCUCCUCCACUCAGGGAACACCCAGGCUCAGACCCCAAGCUCCUCUGAGCUGCCAGUAGGAUUCUGCUUCCGAGGCCAGAGGUGAGUCCAGGCUCUGUGGGAGGCUCUCAGGGGCUCAGCACAGCUCCACAUCACCCCACACAGAGGAGGCUGGGCCCCAGCACCUGCCCCGGGAAG